AACCACAACAAUAUAGCAUUACAUUCACAAAAGCCACUUAAAACUUUACUGUGCAAAAAGAAGCCUUAUGUUAAUCUUGUCCAGAAGCAGCAUCAACAUCUCUGGGCUAUGAGACAUUUGGGUUGGACCAUCAAACAGUGGAAACGUGUACUGCGGUCAGAAGAUUCACUAUUCU